rnacentral:lncRNA from 1 species
AAAAUACGAUGAUUGUGUGCAUUUACGGACCUAAAAGCCUAUGGAAUCCCUUUGCCUCUACCUAGGAUACGAAUGGUCUGUUACAAAGAUUUGCUAAUAAUGAUGAGAUUGAAUCCCUAGACACAAUAACGUUCUGGAUUUUUGAUGGCGGAUAAAGUAAAAUAUGCUAAAAAAAGGUUAAGAAUUAUUGAAAAUCAACAGUGUUAAAAUAAUCAAGACAUCGUCAUAUUUAAAAUGAUGUGUAAAACUUAAGUUAUUUUGUAAUAUCAUAACAAUUUCUUUGUCCUGUUUGUAGUAUUAUGGCCUGAUUAAAAAAAAACAUUCAAAAUCUUAGGACCAAUUUUGACCAUUCAUGAACUUACACCUUUUUAAAGAAUGUGAAACUUUACUUUUAUAAUAAAAAAGUAGUGAGUUAUAAAGAUUUAGAACUUAACCUGUUAGAUUGGUAAAAAUAUCUUAACUGGUUUAGUUUGCAGUUUGAUGGUCAAUUCAAUUACUGUGAACGUGUGUGUGCAAAGAGAGAUGCAAAAGAGGGACGAAUGAUACCAGAGGGACGAAAGAUACAGACGAAAGAUACCAGAGGGACGAAAGAUACCAGAGGGACAGUCAAAUUAAUCCAUUUUCAGAUAAACAGAAUAUAAUUAUAAAUGUUAAAGGCAGUCAGAUUAGGGAAUUUAAAAAGAAUGUCAUUGUGACCUCUUUAGAAUGAGAUUCUAGAAAGCGGUGUCUUAAUGGUCGUUAUUUUUAUUCUUUCAGCCAUAUUUUCUUUAUUUCAUUAUUUCGCCCAUCAAUUUAUAAUUCGUUGCCAUAUCCAGACUCUGAAGUGUAAAACAUAUUGUUUUGAUCUAUUUAUUUAAAAAUAUCGAUCAUUCCAGAACUUGUUCAAACUGAACUUUUAAUAAAGAAAAAAACUGAUUUAUGACAAUUCAUAAAUAUAUUUAUAUUGUUUAUACACAAACAAGAUUUAUUUGACAUUGUCGGAUAAUAUUUUUCAUUUCAGAUUUAGAGUUGCUACACCAGUCUUGAUAAUCUAAUAAUAAAUAGAUCCUACAAUUUUAAUGCGUUUUUUUGAUCGGUUUCAUUACUACAUAUUUGACAUAGAUAAUCUACUACUUGAGUUUUUAUACAAAAUAAACUCUUUUUGGCAUUUAACUGUACUAAUUGCGCUGCACAGAUGCGCAUUUGCACAAAUGCCUUUCGGUGAUGAACAAGUUCCAUAUCUUAUUAAACAUGUCGAACAAAUAAAUAAAAAAACAUAUAAAUAUCGUUAUACAUGUAAAUUACUGGUCUAGCAGUUCAUUAGCCGAGUAUUCUACCUAGUUUGUGCAAUAAAAUAUGCGGUCCUAAUUUUCUUCAAGAUGCUCAUUUUGGUCGCUAUUGUCCUUUUAGUGAUGGCAAAAGUCAAAAUAUUUUUAAUUCAAAAAUUAUUAAACAAAAGAAGAGCUUAAAAAAAAACAACUAAUAAUGAAUGUGGCCAAACCCCGCAAAUAACCUGAGCCAUAAAUAAGUUAGUAAUGAUACUAUUAUUCAUUAUUUGUGUUAAAAUUCAGUUUGAGACCAAUGUUUAACCAAAAGUUUGUUUUGCGUAAUUCAUUUUAGCUGCAACCCCUGCAGCAGAUAAUAACUGUGUCUACGAAUCUAUUAUAAUUAUUGACUCCUUUUUGGUUAUUUGUCAUAAUAGAUCGUAGAUUGCAGCUUAAGAUUUCCUUAAGAUUAAAUGUCGUUAAAAGCACACAGUUUCGACAAUACGUAAACAUCCAAAUUGUGGGUUAUGGAACCUUCGAUGUUCACUUAUAAAACAAUCAUUUGUUCCCUAGCACUUGGGCCUUUGGAAUAGAUCAAUUUAAGAACCUUUUAAUUUUUUUUAUUAUUAUAAUUAUGUUGAAAGAAAAGGCAAUAUUUGGCAAACAUAGAUCACGUCCUUCGCUCUUAACACUAGCUCAACAUUUUCAAUAAGUGUCGACUGAAGGGAAACAACCCAAACAAAUAAGUCGGUAAUAUUGGGACAAUAACGGAAAUGUCCAAUAACAUAUAUUGAGUAAUCCACGAAUAUGAACGUAGAUAACAAAAAAUUUCCCGGUUUAUGUCCGAAUCGGGGGAUAUUUCUAAAAGAAUUAAGAAAAAAGGUGUUACGUGAAAGCAACUUUUUAAAAAUAAUUUAUUAAAAAAUGUUAUUAUUAAUUUUACAAUUCCACAUUUCUUUUACCGUAUGUAAGGUAACCCUACAUAUAUUUAACUAUAGUCUUAGACGGCGGAAAAUCAACGUGGGUAACUUGCAUAACUAGGUCGUCGGUAGUCCCAUUAAUUAACGAUAUUGUAACCAAGUGAUGCAUUAACUAAAAUGAAUGCCAGGAAAUAGCAUACACUGAUAAUAUCGUUAGUUGGUUACAUAUUUGAUGAAAAUAACAACAACAUCAUAAAUAAUCUACAGAAAUCAAGUUUGCACAUAUAACAACUACUGGACAAAACAAAAAAGGCAUGAAGUUGUCCGUGGUAGUGGGUGGCACCAACACCCGUGGCAUAUUUUUUUAACGACCUGUCAUUAUCCAAUCGAAAUCCGUGAACUAUGACAAGCCGAGCAUAAUCAUCCAAAUGAAAAAAUAUAUCAUAUUCACAUUUUGUUUGUUAAGUUACAACUACAGUGUCACCCAUUUGUAAAAUUCAAGACUCAUUUGUUUUGUAGAAUGGCGAGUAAUUGGACUGUUUGUGGUGUAUGUAAUUUCCGAAACAUCAACAAAGCAUCAGUAGUGUGGUGUUCAGAAUGUGACGAGGGACUUUGUGGCGAGUGUAGAGAUCACCAUGGUGCAUCAAAAUCAUCUAGGAACCAUGACACUAUUUCAAUUACAGAAUAUCAGAAGCUACCAACAAAUGUGUUAGAGAUAACACAAACAUGUCAAAAACACAAAGAACACUAUCAAACAUUCUGUAAGAAACAUGAUUGCCCGUGCUGUAGGAGGUGUGUUAUUGAGACACAUAAUGAUUGUAAUGAUUUAACAGCAAUAGAAGACAUCGUCAAAAAUGUCAAGUCAUCGAAUGCGUGGUUAGAGGUAGAGCAAAUAUUGGUCCAAAUGUUGAAAAAUGUACAAAGAAUUCGUAACGAUCGCACAGAAAAUUUAAAAUGUCUACAGGAUCAGAAGGUAGAGAUUGAACGUGAUAUAAACCAAACCCGGAAAAUGAUCAACGACCACUUAGACAAAAUACAGGACAAAAUAAUUAAAGAAUUAUAUGCUAAUGAAGAAAAUGAAAGUAAGAGAAUAAAGCUGUUGUUGUGUGAGAUUGAAGACAUUGAAAAAGGGAAUUUCUGACCUCCAAGGUAACCAAAAUAACAUAAGGCAACAUGCAUCAGAACUUCAAACAUUUUUAGCAUUAAAGCACAUUGAAAAAGAGGUUUCUGAUAAAGCAGAAUGUAUUCAGUCCGUCCUUAAGAACGAGGACAUGAAGAUAAAAACACUGGCUUUGGAGGUUAACAAAGACGUACAAAACAUUUGCAGGGCUGAUUGUUUUGGGUCCGUUAGUGUUGAUUCAAAAUCGUGCAAAGUUGUUAUUGACAGUAACAAAAACAAAGAAGCUCAGAUGAUGAUACCUAGUUUAAUUUCCAAAUGCAUAGAUGAUAUCAAACUAAGCAACAAAAAUGCAAAUUGAUUUGCAAUCUGCUGAGAGAGUGUUAGAGGUUGCGCAAUUCUACCAAAUGGCAAGAUGAUGUUCUGUGAUUAUUAUAUAUCGAAAAUUUAAUUGUGUUGAAAAGCAACGGUAUGCAUGAGUUUGAAAUUCGGCUAGAUACACGCGCAUUUGAUUUAGCAUAUUUUGAAAGAGAAAAUUCCAUUGCCGUUACCAGUGGCUAUUAUUCAAAAGUUAUUCACAUUAUUGACCCUAACAGCAG